rnacentral:rRNA from 2 species
AGUUGAUCACUCGGCUCGUGCGUCGAUGAAGAACGCAGUUAGAUGCGAGAAUUCAUGUGAAUUGCAGAACUCACUGAUCAUCGACUUAUUCGAACGCAAAUGGCGGCUCGGGGAUGCUUUGCUCCUCGAGCCACGUCCGUCUGAGCGUCU